GACGAACGCUGGCGGCGUGCUUAACACAUGCAAGUCGAACGGAAAGGCCCUGCUUUUGUGGGGUGCUCGAGUGGCGAACGGGUGAGUAACACGUGAGUAACCUGCCCUUGACUUUGGGAUAACUUCAGGAAACUGGGGCUAAUACCGGAUAGGAGCUCCUGCUGCAUGGUGGGGGUUGGAAAGUUUCGGCGGUUGGGGAUGGACUCGCGGCUUAUCAGCUUGUUGGUGGGGUAGUGGCUUACCAAGGCUUUGACGGGUAGCCGGCCUGAGAGGGUGACCGGCCACAUUGGGCCUGAGAUACGGACCAGACUCCUACGGGAGGCAGCGGUGGGGAAUAUUGCACAAUGGGCGGGAGCCUGAUGCAGCAACGCCGCGUGCGGGAUGACGGCCUUCGGGUUGUAAACCGCUUUCGCCUGUGACGAAGCGUGAGUGACGGUAAUGGGUAAAGAAGCACCGGCUAACUACGUG
rnacentral:rRNA from 1 species